rnacentral:rRNA from 1 species
GGGCAAUCUGCCCUGCACUCUGGGACAAGCCCUGGAAACGGGGUCUAAUACCGGAUACUCACUGCCUUGGGCAUCCUUGGUGGUGGAAAGCUCCGGCGGUGCAGGAUGAGCCCGCGGCCUAUCAGCUAGUUGGUGAGGUAAUGGCUCACCAAGGCGACGACGGGUAGCCGGCCUGAGAGGGCGACCGGCCACACUGGGACUGAGACACGGCCCAGACUCCUACGGGAGGCAGCAGUGGGGAAUAUUGCACAAUGGGCGAAAGCCUGAUGCAGCGACGCCGCGUGAGGGAUGACGGCCUUCGGGUUGUAAACCUCUUUCAGCAGGGAAGAAGCGAGAGUGACGGUACCUGCAGAAGAAGCGCCGGCUAACUACGUGCCAGCAGCCGCGGUAAUACGUAGGGCGCAAGCGUUGUCCNGGAAUUAUUGGGCGUAAAGAGCUCGUAGGCGGCUUGUCACGUCGGUUGUGAAAGCCCGGGGCUUAACCCCGGGUCUGCAGUCGAUACGGGCAGGCUAGAGUUCGGUAGGGGAGAUCGGAAUUCCUGGUGUAGCGGUGAAAUGCGCAGAUAUCAGGAGGAACACCGGUGGCGAAGGCGGAUCUCUGGGCCGAUACUGACGCUGAGGAGCGAAA